rnacentral:rRNA from 1 species
UACAGAGGUCUCAAGCGUUGUUCGGAUUCAUUGGGCGUAAAGGGUGCGUAGGUGGUGAUGCAAGUCUGGUGUGAAAUCUCGGAGCUCAACUCCGAAAUUGCACCGGAUACUGCGUGACUCGAGGACUGUAGAGGAGAUCGGAAUUCACGGUGUAGCAGUGAAAUGCGUAGAUAUCGUAAGGAAGACCAGUGGCGAAGGCGGGUCUCUGGGCAGUUCCUGACACUGAGACACGAAGGCCAGGGGAGCAAACGGG